AAUAAGUCUAUAUCAGGCCUCCUUUUAUAGUUGUCCAUCUAUCCUUUCUUCUUCGUUCUUCUCUUCUCUAGCUGGUUUAUUUGCUUCUAAAUACAAAUAUAAAGGAUAAGCAUAUUGUCUCUCUCUCUGAAAUAAAUACCGUAUAUACUCGUGUAUAAGUCGAUCUCAUGUAUAAGUCGAGUGCAGUUUUGUGACCAACAAUUGUGAAAUAUGCUAUGCCUCGUGGAUAAGUCGGGGGUAAAACUUGGGGCUAUGAAGUUCUGUGAUUUUUAUAAUUAUAUACACACACACUCAUACAAACACACACACUGUAUUAUAUACACACACUCAUACAAACACAC